AAGACUAUAGACCUGCGGAGUACCUGCGGAAGGAUCAUUCAAAAUAAAAGUGAAAUUUUUAUGGCACUUUUAAAACAAUCCAUAUUCACCUUGUGUGCAAUGUUUUUUGAAAGAAGGUCAUGUAAAAAUGACUUUUUUUCUUUUAACUUAUUACAAACACUAUUUUAUAAGAAAUCUCGUCUGAUAACAUUAUUAUUGAAUAACUUAAUUCAUAAAUAUAACUUUUAACAAUGGAUCUCU
rnacentral:misc_RNA from 1 species